AUUGAACGCUGGCGGCAGGCCUAACACAUGCAAGUCGAGCGGAGCGGCGGGCGGGUGGGUAAUGCCUAGGAAUCUACCUGGCAGUGGGGGAUAACGUCCGUAUACGGGCGCUAAUACCACAUACUAUCCGAUUAGCCUAGGUGGGAUUAGCUAGUUGGUGGGGUAAUGGACUACCAAGGCGAAGAACCGUAACUGGUCUGAGAGGAUGACCAGUCAAACUGGAACUGAGACAGGGUCCAGACUCCUACGGUAGGCAGCAGUGGGGAAUAUUGGACAAUGGGCGAAAGCCUGAUCCAGCCAUGCCGCGUGUGUGAAGAAGGUCUUCGGAUUGUAAAGCACUUUAAGUUGGGAGGCGUUACCAACAGAAUAAGCACCGGCUAACUUCGUGCCAGCAGCCGCGGUAAUAC
rnacentral:rRNA from 1 species